rnacentral:lncRNA from 1 species
UUUGGCUGCUUGGAAAGGUUCUGUAGUUUCCCCAUUCACCAUGACUGUAUAGCUCACUGUUUGAACACAUUCCAUGAUCCAUCUGAUAAACCUGUUUGGGAAGUUUAAAGAUUCCAUAACCUGCUGUAAGAAAACCCACUCAACAGAAUCAUAUGCCUUCUGUAAGUCCAUUUUAAUCAUGCAUUUAGGAGAUACAUGAGCCCUUGCAUAAUGUUUAAUCAAUUCAUGAGCUAGGAUAACAUU